CAGCCGCCGCGGUAAUACGAAGGUCCCGAGCGUUGUUCGGAAUCACUGGGCGUAAAGGGAGCGUAGGCGGCGUGGUAAGUCAGAUGUGAAAUCCCGGGGCUCAACCCCGGAACUGCAUCCGAUACUGCCAUGCUAGAGGAUUGGAGAGGUAGCUGGAAUUAUUGGUGUAGCAGUGAAAUGCGUGGAGAUCAAGAGGAACACUCGUGGCGAAAGCGAGCUACUGGACAAUAACUGACGCUGAGGCUCGAAGGCCAGGGUAGCGAAAGGGAUUAGAUACCCCAGUAGUCCCUGUCUCUUAUAC
rnacentral:rRNA from 1 species